GACGAACGCUGGCGGCGUGCCUAAUACAUGCAAGUAGAACGCAGUUGCGAACGGGUGAGUAACGCGUAGGUAACUUCCUCAUAGCGGGGGAUAACUAUUGGAAACGAUAGCUAAUACCGCAUACUGUGAGAUUGACCUGCGUUGUAUUACCGAGUUGGUGAGGUAAAGGCUCACCAAGGCGACGAUACAUAGCCGACCUGAGAGGGUGGUCGGCCCAACUGGGACUGGGACAAGGCCCCGACUCCCACGGGAGGCAGCAGUAGGGAAUUUUCGGCAAUUGACGGAAGUCUGACCGAGGAACGCCGGGUGAGUGAAGAAGGUUUUCGGAUCGUAAAGCUCUGUUGUUAGAGGAGCGGUAUCUAACCAGAAAGGGACGGCUAACUACGUGCCAGCAGCCGCGGUAAUAC
rnacentral:rRNA from 1 species